GGCAGAGGGGAGGAGGCAGGGGAGGAGGGGCGCGCGCGCCGGGUGGGGAGCCACGGAGGGCUUCGCCGCUGCCUCCCUCCCUCCCUCCGCAGCUUGACCCGGUAGUGAAGGCAGAGAGAGAGGCAGGCUGGGUCCGCCUGGCAGCCUACGGGAGGAGGCGGGAGCCGGGAAGGAGGGGAGCCGAGGCCCGGCGUGGGGAGGCCGGCAGGAAGGGCCUCGAGCCCAGUGCGGACCUUUCUUCAGCCUCUGUGCUACCGAGCCGCGCGCCAGGCUCCUGUGCGAGGAGGACGCGCUGACUCCCUCCGACCUGGGCUCCGAUGGAGCAGAAAUAGCGGGACCUGGACUUGUGGCGCGCCUGGUGCCACAUCUCGGGCUCUGCGAGCGUCCUGGCGCGGGAUCCUGCCGUUUGCAUCCAAGAGAGGGGAGGACAGGGGCUAAAGGAUGCAGGGAGGCUGCUGAUUUCCACUGAAGAGCUAAUUUCCUGUGAGACAUUAACAGUGAUUUAAGAAAAAGAUUCCUGUAACUGUAAUGUCUUACAAUAACAGAAUGCAGGAGAGCACAUAUCAAUGAAGAAAAGACAAAAUGUACUUAUCCAUGAAGCUGAGGUUAAGAAACCAGUGUCUUCAAGAGCCAAGGACAGCACUGGGUCUGUGCAGAGUUGAGAGAUGGUGAUGACAUGUGGUUUCCAGCAUUCCUCACCCAGUCCAGGGACACUGUGGGUGUGCCCAGCUUAAGUCCAGUAACUGGAAAUACAAGCCCAAGUUCUGGAGAGUUUGAGCUGCAGAGAUAUAUGUGGGAACACUUUGAACCUUGACUCAUUGGCCAUAACCAGCAGAGUGGAAAAUACAAGAAGAGAAAAAAACAUUGAACUGCGAUUUUAUAACAUCCUUUACUCGGCAGAGAGAAGAGGAAACACCAGGAAAGAAAACUGUAUUACGAUGUGAAAACUUAACGUUGAGAAAUUCAGGCAUCUUGGGGUUAGUGAGGAGAAGUUUUAGGGGCUUAGAUUCUUCAAAACACAUGUACAGAAAUGCAUAUUUCAUCUGAUAUCAAAUGACAUUUAUAGUGCUAAUCUUUACCUCAAGACUUCACAUCUUUUGGUGAUUGCAUCUUUUAGGUUUAUAGCAGCUAAGUUUGCAUGAAAACACCAGGGCUGUUUCAUUUCAGUCAAGAAUUAAUGUUCAUUGAUUGUGCUUCUGCAUUUCACGUAACUAUUGUAGAAUUUGUUUUAGUUUUAUGAGGGAAUAAUUGGUCCAACUUCUAUAUAACUCAGGAAUUUACUCUCAAACAACACUGUCAAUUAGUUACUUAUCUCUCUGGAAAUGAUCUGGGAACAUGGAGAGGAAAGGGAGGAAGGGGCAAAAUCUGACCACUUAAAUCUAAGCAUAUUAGAUCAUUUUAUGCUAGAAAGUCCUGAAUGAUGUGACUUUUGUUCUUGUAAAACACCUCUUUCCAUAGAUUCAUGGCCCAAACAGUAUAUAAAGAGUGGGGAAGGAACUGCAUUUGCAAAUAGUUCAAGUCAUUGCUCCAUCUUAACUAUGCAGUUCACAAAGUGUGAAGAAAUUUGAUCAUCUCAAAAAAGAUAAUGGGAAAAAAUAUGUUUUGUUCUGUGACUUUAAAGUCUUGCAAUAUUUUACAUAAAUGAUAAUGGGUGCUUUAAUAAGAACCCUUGAUACUUUUGUUAUUGUAUUCAAUAUAUGCAUAUAAUACAACAGGAUGAUAUUGUUUUGGAUUUGGAAAUGUAUUCUUUCUUAUGCAAUCUUAUGCAGUCAUACUGCUUGAAUAUCAUUACCUGAAUUUAUCUUUCUUUUUUUUGUUGUUGUUGUUUUACACUCUACUUAUUUGGUGCCUGUCAGUCUUUUGUCAUCAGUUUAUAUUCUACUAAACUCAAAAAGACAAUCUCAUACCUUUUGUAAUUGUAGGCAUUCUUUACUAGAUUUUUAAAUACACUUCAAAAAUUCAAGUACUUUGAUUUCAUGCCAUCAAGUAGCUGAAUCUAUCCCCCCCUCUCUUUUUAAAUUUAAGUGAGUAGUUCAAUUUCUGUCACUUUCUACUUUGUGAAUUCUAAAUCUUUUAAAACCAUCUUGCCAUUUUUCGUGCACUUACCCUUACAGAAAACUCUGUGAAACACUACUUAUCUCUACUUUUAUGUUUUUAACUCCUUUUUUAUAUUACUAUUCCCUCUGCUUUCUAAAUGCACAUAUUAAUUUGUUCUUUUUAUUCUCUGUAGCUCUUCUCAGUAUAUGAAUUCAGUUUCCCAUCAGUCUCCAUACAAUUUUUAAAAAGUUGAGUAUUCUGUUAUUUUAAUAUGAUAUCUAGUGCCCAUAUAUUAAUUCUGCCUCUUAUUUUUAAAAUAAUUUUAUUGUUGAUUUAAAACGACAACAGUUUCAAUUCCCAGAAAGUGAAAGGAAACAAAGGAAUAAUAUUAUGGGCUUAAUUUUUAUCAGUGAACUUGUAGGUGAAGAAAAGAUUUGGGGAAGGAAAUGAACAUAUUAUAUUGCCAAAUAGUAAGGAACAAUCAGAUGUGUUUUCUAGUCUCUGGAAAAGCAUGUUUCAAGAAAUUCAAUGAAAAGUUCAUCAUGCUUGCUUAGAUUGUUGAGAAGCAAAAAUGCUGAUGAACAUUUGGAAGCAAUGAGAAUGUAAUUCUAAUCAUACUAUUUUAAUAAUGUUGCAAAACUCUCCAAACACUACUCUGUGUGGAUGUCUUUCAGAAUAUGAUGAAUACUAGUAGUCUUAUUCUGCCCUUUUCUCUCUAUCACAAUAUAUACAUUGUAUAUUGCAUACACAUAUUUUCCAAAUAUUACAUAUAAUUUCAUGUAAUUUAUAGACCUAUUAAGGCCCAACCAUUUUCUUGGAUAGGGGAUUCUUUAGAAGUCCAGCUUAAAUAAAGCCCUUAUAGAAAGUUUUUUUAAAAUUUAUACAUAAUCACCUAAAGUAACCUUAUCUACUGAACUCUUAGUACAUGCUAUCGGAACCUUUUAUCACAUUUCUUCCUGGCUUGCAUUACAACACUGUUGACAUAUCUCAGCCUUACUUCUAGGCUUCUUUGAGAGCAUGACUCAUGUUUGUAUUCCUCACUGAGGUUGAAUGAAUAAGAGAAACUACAGUAGUAGGAAAAAACAGUACAUGUAGAUAUCAAUGAAUAUGAAAGGGUCAAAUGGAUCUAUUAUAGUAAGCACAAAAUCAACUGACACCAGCAAAGUAAACCCAAAAUUUUUAAUGGUAUUUUAAUAGAUCAAGAGGAACAAGCAGAUUUUUGAGACAGUUGUCUCCUACUUUCUCUAUCACAGGGAGUAAUUUUAAAAGAAAAAUGGAGGGUAAGUUUCUUUAAGAGAAAAUUGUAGUUUAAAACAGGUCAUGGGAUAAUUAGAAAUAAUUUAAUUUCUUUAGAGGAUUUUAAUCUUUCAACUGCUUGCAAUUAGAUCCUAAGGCAAUAAAAGAAUAAGGAGAUUUGGAAAACCAUUGUCUGUAAUCUCUGAAGAAAAGUGGACAUUAGGGGAGUCAGUUGAAAAGCAAAGCUAUCACCAUUUUCUAAAGAGGAAAAAGGUGAACCUCACAAACUAUAGACCAAAAAAAUAGGACAUCGAGAGAAAGAAUAUGAAGCUAGCAUAGAUUCACAAAGAAUGAGUCAAAUCAAACAACAUGCAUUUUUUAUUUAUAAAGCAUGACUUGUUCAUUAUCAAUUCAUGUUAGCUUAAUCAUUAGGCAUUAAUGCCAUCACUGCAAUGCAUAUGUCAGCAAUAAAUAAUCAAAGACCAGGCUUCCAUCAUUCUGUUUAAUAUCUUCAAGUAAUGCUUAAGUUUGCAAAUGCUCUUUUAACACAUUCUCCAUAUGCAGCCUGCCCAGCACUGCACACAAUAGACCUGUUACUUCCCCCUCACGAGCACUCCUAAUAUUUCAUGUGCUCAUCCAAUUGACUUCUCCCACUGGUGCCUCAUAUUGAAUUUGUAGAAUCACACCUGCUCCUUUUUCAAAACUCUUCUGAGUUUUUUCUUAAAUAAUUCACUGACCCCAAAGUUGUCAGAUAUUUGAAGACUACUCGCACAAUUUUAAUAUUAUAAAUGUAUAAUGUAAAUGUAAUUAAGAUUUGUAUAAUGUACGAUGUACUUUGGUAAAUAAAAGUAUGCUGUGAAUAAAUACGUAUGAUACAAUUCAAAAUUUUACAUAAAUAUGUGAUAAAAUUUAG
rnacentral:lncRNA from 1 species